UACGAAGGGGGCUAGCGUUGCUCGGGAUCACUGGGCGUAAAGGGCGCGUAGGCGGCGUUUUAAGUCGGGGGUGAAAGCCCAGGGCUCAACCCUGGAAUUGCCUUCGAUACUGGAUGUCUUGAGUUCGGGAGAGGUGAGUGGAAUGCCGAGUGUAGAGGUGAAAUUCGUAGAUAUUCGGCGGAACACCAGUGGCGAAGGCGACUCACUGGCCCGAUACUGACGCUGAUGCGCGAAAGCGUGGGGAGCAAACAGG
rnacentral:rRNA from 1 species